rnacentral:rRNA from 1 species
AUUGAACGCUGGCGGCAGGCUUAACACAUGCAAGUCGAACGAGUGGCGGACGGGUGAGUAAUGUCUGGGAAACUGCCUGAUGGAGGGGGAUAACUACUGGAAACGGUAGCUAAUACCGCAUACCAUCAGAUGUGCCCAGAUGGGCUUAGCUAGUGGGUGGGGUAAUGGCUCACCAAGGCGACGAUCCCGAGCUGGUCUGAGAGGAUGACCAGCCACACUGGAACUGCGACACGGUCCGGACUCCUACGGGAGGCAGCAGUGGGGAAUAUUGCACAAUGGGCGCAAGCCUGAUGCAGCCAUGCCGCGUGUAUGAAGAAGGCCUUCGGGUUGUAAAGCACUUUCAGCGGGGAGGCGUUACUCGCAGAAGAAGCACCGGCUAACUCCGUGCCAGCAGCCGCGGUAAUAC